rnacentral:rRNA from 1 species
UAGCUAAGGCUAGUUGCAUUUUUAAUGCAAUUUGUGUAUAUCUUAUAAAGUUCUAGAUAGAUAAAAAUGAUGAUGACAAUUUUCUAUCUAUUAGUCUUGACCAAAAAGCGUGCCAGCAGUCGCGGUAAGACGCAAAAGACUAGUGUUAUUCAUCUUUAAUAGGUUUAAAGGGUACCUAGACUGUAUAUCUAGCCCAUAAUGGGUACGGAUUUACUAGAGUUUUAUGUAAGAAGGUAGUAUUUAGGGUGUAGAGAUAGAAUAUUAUGAUACCUUAAGGACUGGUAAAAGCGAAAGCAACCUUCUAUGUAAAUACUGACGUUGAGGGACGAAGGCUUGGGUCGCAAUUAGGAUUAGAUACCCUAGUAGUCCAGGCAGAAAACUAUGAAUGCUAUGCGUUAGAGUAAUUUAGUGCGUAAAUGAAAAUAUAAGCAUUCCACCUCAAGAGUAAUGUGGCAACACAGGAACUGAAAUCAUUAGACCGUUUUUGAAACCAGUGAUGAAGUAUGUCGUUUAAUUCGAUAAUCCACGAAAAACCUUACCACAAUUUGAAUUAUUAUUUACAAGCGUUGCACGGCUGUCUUCAGUUAAUAUCGUGAGAUAAAGAUAUUCCUGUAAAUUAACGUAAACCCUUGUUUUAUUUUAAAAAUAAAAUAUUUUGUCUACCAUGUGGAUAUGACAAAAGG